UACAGAGGUCCCAAGCGUUGUUCGGAUUUACUGGGCGUAAAGGGUGCGUAGGUGGCGAGGUAAGUUCGAUGUGAAAUCUCCGAGCUCAACUCGGAAAUGGCAUUGAAUACUAUCCCGCUUGAGGGUCGGAGGGGAGACUGGAAUUCUCGGUGUAGCAGUGAAAUGCGUAGAUAUCGAGAGGAACACCAGUGGCGAAGGCGAGUCUCUGGACGACUCCUGACACUGAGGCACGAAAGCGUGGGGAGCAAACAGG
rnacentral:rRNA from 1 species